AAGACGGGUCUGGAACCUAACCACGGGGUGUCCAUGACCCCCGAGGUUGCCGCCCACCAGCAAUGAAAGGGUUAUCGGGCAGCCGCAGCCACCACCACGGCGUCACCUGUGAUUCGGCCUGUGACUCGCUGUCGCACCACUCCUCGGACCGCAAGCCCUACCUGCUGAGCCCGGUGGAGCACCACCCCGCGGACCACCCUUACUACACCCAGCGGAACUCCUUCCAGGCCGAGUGCGUGGGCCCCUUCAGCGACCCGCUGGCCAGCAGCACCUUCCCACGCAGGCACUACACGUCACAGCAGGAGUUGAAAGACGAGUGCGCCCUGGUGCCCCGCACCCUGGCCACCAAGGCCAACCGCAUUCCCGCCAACCUCCUGGACCAGUUUGAGAGGCAGCUGCCGCUCAACCGCGAUGGCUACCACACGCUGCAGUACAAGCGCACCGCCGUGGAGCACCGCAGCGACAGCCCCGGCCGCAUCCGCCACCUGGUCCACUCGGUCCAGAAGCUCUUCACCAAGUCGCACUCCCUGGAGGGGCCGUCCAAGGGCAGCGUGAACGGGGGCAAAGCCAGCCCCGACGAGACGCAGACGGUGCGGUACGGCAAGCGCAGUAAGAGCAAGGAGCGGCGCGCGGACCCCAAGGCCCGCCCCAACACCUCCCCCGGCUGGUGGAGCUCCGAUGACAACCUGGACGGCGACAUGUGCAUCUACCACGCGCCCUCGGGCGUGAUGACCAUGGGCAGGUGCCCCGACCGCUCGGCCUCGCAGUACUUCAUGGAGGCCUACAACACCAUCAGCGAGCAGGCGGUCAAGGCCUCCCGGAGUAACAACGACGUCAAGUGCUCCACCUGUGCCAACCUGCCUGUCAACCUGGACGCGCCGCUCCUGAAGAAGAGCGCGUGGUCCUCCACUCUGACAGUCAGCCGUGCCAGGGAGGUUUACCAGAAAGCCUCGGUUAACAUGGACCAGGCCAUGGUGAAGUCAGAGUCAUGUCAACAAGAACGUUCCUGCCAGUACCUUCAGGUACCAUUUAUGUCAAGUGAUGGAUGCUUAGAAAUUGUACCUGCUAAUUGUGUGGUGUUUUCUCCUGGGCCCUAG